rnacentral:rRNA from 1 species
GAUAACCCUGGUAGUCCACGCCGUAAACGAUGUCGACUUGGAGGUUGUGCCCUUGAGGCGUGGCUUCCGGAGCUAACGCGUUAAGUCGACCGCCUGGGGAGUACGGCCGCAAGGUUAAAACUCAAAUGAAUUGACGGGGGCCCGCACAAGCGGUGGAGCAUGUGGUUUAAUUCGAUGCAACGCGAAGAACCUUACCUACUCUUGACAUCCAGAGAACUUAGCAGAGAUGCUUUGGUGCCUUCGGGAACUCUGAGACAGGUGCUGCAUGGCUGUCGUCAGCUCGUGUUGUGAAAUGUUGGGUUAAGUCCCGCAACGAGCGCAACCCUUAUCCUUUGUUGCCAGCGAUUCGGUCGGGAACUCAAAGGAGACUGCCAGUGAUAAACUGGAGGAAGGUGGGGAUGACGUCAAGUCAUCAUGGCCCUUACGAGUAGGGCUACACACGUGCUACAAUGGCAUAUACAAAGAGAAGCGACCUCGCGAGAGCAAGCGGACCUCAUAAAGUAUGUCGUAGUCCGGAUUGGAGUCUGCAACUCGACUCCAUGAAGUCGGAAUCGCUAGUAAUCGUAGAUCAGAAUGCUACGGUGAAUACGUUCCCGGGCCUUGUACACACCGCCCGUCACACCAUGGGAGUGGGUUGCAAAAGAAGUAGGUAGCUUAACCUUCGGGAGGGCGCUUACCACUUUGUGAUUCAUGACUGGGGUGAAGUCGUACAAAGGUAACCA